UACGUAGGGGGCAAGCGUUGUCCGGAAUCAUUGGGCGUAAAGAGCGCGUAGGCGGUCCGGUAAGUCCGCUCUGAAAGUCCGGGGCUCGACCCCGGGAGGCGGGCGGAUACUGUCGGGCUAGAGUCCGGAAGAGGCGAGUGGAAUUCCUGGUGUAGCGGGUGAAAUGCGCAGAUAUCAGGAGGAACACCAAUGGCGAAGGCAGCUCGCUGGGACGGUACUGACGCUGAGGCGCGAAAGCGUGGGGGAGCAAACAGG
rnacentral:rRNA from 1 species